rnacentral:rRNA from 1 species
AGUACGGUCGCAAGAUUAAAACUCAAAGGAAUUGACGGGGACCCGCACAAGCGGUGGAGCAUGUGGUUUAAUUCGAUGCAACGCGAAGAACCUUACCUGGUCUUGACAUCCUGCGAACUUUCUAGAAAUAGAUUGGUGCCUUCGGGAACGCAGUGACAGGUGCUGCAUGGCUGUCGUCAGCUCGUGUCGUGAGAUGUUGGGUUAAGUCCCGUAACGAGCGCAACCCCUAUCCUUAUUUGCCAGCACAUCAUGGUGGGAACUAUAAGGAGACUGCCGGUGAUAAACCGGAGGAAGGCGGGGACGACGUCAAGUCAUCAUGGCCCUUACGACCAGGGCUACACACGUGCUACAAUGGGAAGGACAAAGAGCCGCGAAGCCGCGAGGUGUAGCUAAUCUCAUAAACCUUUUCGUAGUCCGGAUUGGAGUCUGCAACUCGACUCCAUGAAGUCGGAAUCGCUAGUAAUCGUAGAUCAGAAUGCUACGGUGAAUACGUUCCCGGGUCUUGUACACACCGCCCGUCAUACCAUGGGAGUGGGUUGCACCAGAAGUGGCUAGUCUAACUUAGUGAGGACGGUCACCACGGUGUGAUUCAUGACUGGGGUAAAGUCGUAACAAGGUAACC